rnacentral:rRNA from 1 species
UACGUAGGGUGCAAGCGUUGUCCGGAAUUAUUGGGCGUAAAGAGCUCGUAGGCGGUCUGUCGCGUCUGCUGUGAAAACCUGGGGCUUAACCCCGGGCCUGCAGUGGGUACGGGCAGACUAGAGUGCGGUAGGGGAGACUGGAAUUCCUGGUGUAGCGGUGAAAUGCGCAGAUAUCAGGAGGAACACCGGUGGCGAAGGCGGGUCUCUGGCUCGACCCUGACGCUGAGGCGCGAAAGCGUGGGGAGCGAACGGG